GGCUCACCGGGAGGUCUUGAAAUGGGGAUUGGGCGAAGGGGGGGGGAUUCCCGGUAGGGGAAAUGGUAGAAUUGGGGAACCCGUGGGAAGGGGUUUUGGUUGUAACGAGGUGGGGCGAAACGUGGGGCAACAGGUUGAUACCUGGUGUCCCCCGUAACGAUGGGCUAAUUUGGGGGAUCCCCCUUUGUGUGUGCUACCCAUAACACUCGCCUGGGAGUCGCUGCAAGAGGAACUCAAGGAAUGACGGGGCCGCACAACGGGGAGCAUUGGUUAAUUGAAGCACGCGAAGACCUUACCGGUCUGACAUCCCUGACACCCGAGAGAUCGGGCGUCCUCUUCGGGGACAGGUGACAGGUGUGCAUGUUGUCGUCAGCUCGUGUCGUGAGAUGUGGGUUAGUCCCGCAACGAGCGAACCCUCGACCUUAGUGCCAGCAUCAGUUGGCACUCUAAGGUGACUGCCGGCUAAAAGUCGGAGGAAGGUGGGGAUGACGUCAAAUCAUCAUGCCCCUUAUGACCUGGGCUACACACGUGCUACAAUGGGCGGUACAAAGGGUCGCGAACCCGCGAGGGGGAGCCAAUCCCAAAAAGCCGCUCUCAGUUCGGAUUGCAGGCUGCAACUCGCCUGCAUGAAGCCGGAAUCGCUAGUAAUCGCGGAUCAGCAUGCCGCGGUGAAUACGUUCCCGGGCCUUGUACACACCGCCCGUCACACCACGAGAGUUGGGGCACCCGAAGUCGGUGAGGUAACCCUUA
rnacentral:rRNA from 1 species